UACAGAGGGGGCAAGCGUUGUUCGGAAUUACUGGGCGUAAAGGGCGCGUAGGCGGCCUUCUAAGUCGAACGUGAAAUCCCCGGGCUCAACCCGGGAACUGCGUCCGAUACUGGAAGGCUUGAAUCCGGGAGAGGGAUGUGGAAUUCCAGGUGUAGCGGUGAAAUGCGUAGAUAUCUGGAGGAACACCGGUGGCGAAGGCGGCAUCCUGGACCGGUAUUGACGUUGAGGCGCGAAAGCCAGGGGAGCAAACGGG
rnacentral:rRNA from 1 species